rnacentral:rRNA from 1 species
GAUGAACGCUGGCGGUCUGCUUAACACAUGCAAGUCGAACGGGAGCUUCGGCUCUAGUGGCGGACGGGUGAGUAACGCGUGAGAAUCUGCCUUCAGGUCGGGGACAACAGAGGGAAACUUCUGCUAAUCCCGGAUGAGCCUUAGGGUAAAAAAUUUAUUGCCUGGAGAUGAGCUCGCGUCUGAUUAGCUAGUUGGUAAGGUAAAAGCUUACCAAGGCGGCGAUCAGUAGCUGGUCUGAGAGGAUGAGCAGCCACACUGGGACUGAGACACGGCCCAG